rnacentral:rRNA from 1 species
GACGAACGCUGGCGGCGUGCUUAACACAUGCCAGUCGAACGGUGAAGCGCCUUCCUUUUUGGUUGGUGUGGAUGAGUGGCGAACGGGUGAGUAACACGUGAGUAACCUGCCCCCUUCUUCUGGAUAACCGCAUGAAAGUGUGGCUAAUACGGGAUAUUCUGGGUCUGUCGCAUGAUGGGUCUGGUAAAGAUAUUGUUUCGGUGGGGGAUGGGCUCGCGGCCUAUCAGCUUGUUGGUGGGGUGCUGGCCUACCAAGGCGGUUACGGGUAGCCGGCCUGGGAGGGUGGACGGCCACACAGGGGCGGCGGCACGGCGCAGACUCCGACGGGAGGCAGCAGUGGAGAAUAGUGAACAGUGGGCGAAAGGCUGAUGCAGCGACGCCGCGUGAGGGAUGGCGGCCUUCGGGUUGUGAACCUCUUUCGCCAGUGAAGCGGGCCUGCCUCGUUUGUGGGUGGGUUGACGGUAGCUGGAUAAGAAGCGCCGGCUAACUACGUG